UACGGAGGGGACUAGCGUUGUUCGGAAUUACUGGGCGUAAAGCGCACGUAGGCGGAUUUGUAAGUCAGGGGUGAAAUCCCGGGGCUCAACCUCGGAACUGCCUUUGAUACUGCAAAUCUCGAGUCCGGAAGAGGUGAGUGGAAUUCCUAGUGUAGAGGUGAAAAUUCGUAGAUAUUAGGAAGAACACCAGUGGCGAAGGGCGGCCUCACUGGUCCGGUACUGACGCUGAGGUGCGAAAGCGUGGGGAGCAAACAGGG
rnacentral:rRNA from 1 species